GUCCAGUGGAAACUGAGUCUCCAGAAGAAGCUGGCACCUCGAAGGUCGGCCCAGUAAAGGGACCGGUGUGCUUGGUUAACCUCCAUCUCCCAGCGGUGUCAGAUGCAGCUUGCUGCCGGUGGGGGUGCGAGGAUGGUGGUAGGGGAUGAAGUAGGAGGCUGCUAGGGGUUUUUGACGCUAUUGGGUUUGAGACGGAGUUAUCAGUGGGCGCAGGAUCUCCUCUAAAUCGAGGAGUCUGAUUCUUUAAAAUCCCAGAGUACCCUCAGAAAGGCUCUUCAAGGGGGCCUCGCUGAGCAAUCUCACCCACCCCUUGUCCACAAAGGUGGGUGAGGUAGGCGGAAGGGUUAUUGCCCCGGCUGCAGUGCGGGAUCCACGCCAGCGAGGUCUAGGAGGCUGUAGAGGCUCCGGACUCCUGGGUGGAGAAGAGGAUCUUGCCACUUCGGGGGAGGAGAAAGCAAGAAAGUGCUGAAGUACUAGAGAGGCCUAGGAAUAAAGGCACAAGGGAGGGGAGGAGGAAAUCGAGAGCGCGCAAUCCCACCCCUCGAGGAGGUCUCCAACUCAAAGAAAGCAGACACAGGGUUCCUGACCCCUGGCGGGCACGACUAGACGUGAAGCUAGGGACCCACGCAACUCGCCCAGCCACACGAGGCCCCCGCAGGGAGAAUCCAGCCGGGCUAGUGUAUGAAGCAGGUGACUUUAUUCAAGGCUCCCCCAUUCGGCGAGGUCCCGGGACUCGUUUUCCGCCUGGAGAUUAAGAUCAUUGCUCGCGUAAUGAACUUAAUGCUUUAGGGUAGAGAUCCGCCUUGGGAGAGAAUGUUUCAGACGCGUUGGCGGGCAGAUCGGGCGGAAAAGGGAACCCUCCCCCUCCGUGCCAUCAGUCACCCUCAUCAGGCCCUCUCCCCUCCCCUCCCACUCUCGUUCAGGGCUCUCUGUCGGUGCCUGAGAUUCCUAGCUCUGUGCAGACUCUGCACCGCGACCACCCCAAGUGCUACGGGUCGCUAAACAGCCAGUGGGAGCGUGGGAGAGGGGAGAGUACAGGAAAAAUGCCCAGCCAGGCAGGGCACCCCACUACCCAAUUCCACGCCGCUCCACUAGGUAUUCCAACGCCUACCCCGAAGCUUUGCAUCAUCAAGUCAUGAUUUUACCGCCUGCACACGGGGCCGAAGGCCUGCCGGGAUCCCAAAGGCAGGGGAAAGUUUGCAGAGCUUUUAAAAUGAUCUCCAGAAGUUCCUGCUUAAGUCGUCGGGGUGCCGCCCACAGUCUCCCGCGACGGCUCCUAUCCCCGGCACUAGAGGCCCUCCAAGGCAAUCUGCCAGAGUCCCAGGUGCCCUCUAGUCCCCAAACUCUCAGGGUCACGCUCCCAGAACCGUGGUGGGGCUCUGGAGCGGAGCUCUGAUGUGACAGAGUUCAUUAAGAAGCCCGGAGCCCACUACAAAGCAUUCGGAGUAGUUUCGAGGGCAGGACACAGACCAGCGCAGGAAGCAUCUCUCCACGCCCUUCAGAGCACAGUCCUGGUCGCCGGGUCUCCAGAAACAAAGUCAAUAAUCCCUUAGACUUGACUUAAAGUACAAGCAAGAAGCGGUGGUGAAUUUCCUGGAAAAGUCCUGGCAGAAAAGAAACCCCCCCAAAAAAACGUGCCUUGUGGUCUCAGGGGUAGGGGAUGUGAGAAACUCAGCACGUUCAAACUAAACCUCAAUGCUGAACGGAAGGAGAAGGGGGAGACUCGGAGAGGAACCGACUGGCUUUUUGAUAUUUCUUUGUAUUUUGAACAUUAUCUAUAUGUUACUCAACUAAGAAACUUGUUUCUUUGAGGACAGGGCUCUGCAAAUUACAUAAUGGAGGAAAAGGGGUAGCGGUAGGCAA